rnacentral:lncRNA from 1 species
AAUCAGAAAUAGGGUUCUCAGUUAACAUAGUACCAGCAAAGUUAGCAGCAUAUAUGGGAGGAGGAGUUUGAGCAGUGGAAUCCCCUAACUUGGUCUGGUGUAAUAAAUUCAUCAACUGGUCAUAAUCUUGUCUGCUCAACCCUGGUAUCACAGAGCUCUGGCCAACUAUUUUUGCAAUAGGUUGAUGGCUUUCAGGAGGAUACCCUUGGGGAACAGACAAAAGUCCUUCAGAACGAGGAAAAUCCAGACCAGUACUAAAAUGAGCAGCAGCAGGUCUCCUCCCCUUGUUAAAAUUCGUACUUUAUGGAUACCCAUGGAUCUUGAAACACUUAUCAAUUAAGUGUCCAGAUUUUUUACAGUAUCUACAGAAUAAAGAUCCUCUGGCUUGAUCAAAAUUGACUCUUUGUCUGAAAGGAGAAGAAGGACUAGGCACUGUGGCCUUGUUAAAUCCAACAGGCUGCCUAUUAGUAUGAACAUUGAAAGAGACAGAGUCUGGAUUAAAGUGAGAAGAAGACUGGAAGAGUAGGCACUAUGGCCUUGUUAAAUCCAACAGGCUGCCUAUUAGUAUGGACAUUGAAAGAGACAGAGCUUGGAUUGAAGUGAGAAGAAGAUUGGACUUGUCUUUUUUUCUCAUCAUUGAGGACCAUAUUAUAGACAUUGUCAAGAGAAGGAGGAGGCUGCAUCAUCAANN